GGACGAACGCUGGCGGCGUGCCUAAUACAUGCAAGUCGAGCGAUUGGUGCUUGCACCAAAGCGGCGGACGGGUGAGUAACACGUGGGUAACCUGCCCAAGAGACUGGGAUAACACCUGGAAACAGAUGCUAAUACCGGAUAACAACACUGACGCAUGUCUAGAGUUAAAAGAUGUUCUUAUCACUCUUGGAUGGACCUGCGGUGCAUUAGCUAGUUGGUAAGGUAACGGCUUACCAAGGCAAUGAUGCAUAGCCGAGUUGAGAGACUGAUCGGCCACAUUGGGACUGAGACACGGCCCAAACUCCUACGGGAGGCAGCAGUAGGGAAUCUUCCACAAUGGACGCAAGUCUGAUGGAGCAACGCCGCGUGAGUGAAGAAGGGUUUCGGCUCGUAAAGCUCUGUUGGUAGUGAAGAAAGAUAGAGGUGUAAGCCUUUAUUUGACGGUAAUUACUUAGAAAGUCACGGCUAACUACGUGCCAGCAGCCGCGGUAAUACGUAUGUGGCAAGCGUUGUCCGGAUUUAUUGGGCGUAAAGCGAGUGCAGGCGGUUCAAUAAGUCCGAUGUGAAAGCCUUCGGCUCAACCGGAGAAUUGCAUCAGAAACUGUUGAACUUGAGUGCAGAAGAGAGAGUGGAACUCCAUGUGUAGCGGUGGAUGCGUAGAUAUAUGGAAGAACACCAGUGGCGAAGGCGGCUCUCUGGUCUGCAACUGACGCUGAGGCUCGAAAGCAUGGGUAGCGAACAGGAUUAGAUACCCUGGUAGUCCAUGCCGUAAACGAUGAGUGCUAAGUGUUGGGAGGUUUCCCCUCUCAGUGCUGCAGCUAACGCAUUAAGCACUCCGCCUGGGGAGUACGACCGCAAGGUUGAAACUCAAAGGAAUUGACGGGGGCCCGCACAAGCGGUGGAGCAUGUGGUUUAAUUCGAAGCAACGCGAAGAACCUUACCAGGUCUUGACAUCCAGUGCAAACCUAAGAGAUUAGGAGUUCCCUUCGGGGACGCUGAGACAGGUGGUGCAUGGCUGUCGUCAGCUCGUGUCGUGAGAUGUUGGGUUAAGUCCCGCAACGAGCGCAACCCUUGUCAUUAGUUGCCAUCAUUAAGUUGGGCACUCUAAUGAGACUGCCGGUGACAAACCGGAGGAAGGUGGGGAUGACGUCAAGUCAUCAUGCCCCUUAUGACCUGGGCUACACACGUGCUACAAUGGACGGUACAACGAGAAGCGAACCUGCGAAGGCAAGCGGAUCUCUGAAAGCCGUUCUCAGUUCGGACUGUAGGCUGCAACUCGCCUACACGAAGCUGGAAUCGCUAGUAAUCGCGGAUCAGCACGCCGCGGUGAAUACGUUCCCGGGCCUUGUACACACCGC
rnacentral:rRNA from 1 species